rnacentral:rRNA from 1 species
AGAACGAACGCUGGCGGCAGGCUUAACACAUGCAAGUCGAACGCUCGUAGCAAUACGGGAGUGGCAGACGGGUGAGUAACGCGUGGGAACAUACCCUCCGGUUCGGAAUAGCUCAGGGAAACUUGGAUUAAUACCGGAUACGGCCGAGAGGCGAAAGAUUUAUCGCCGGAGGAUUGGCCCGCGUUCGAUUAGCUAGUUGGUGAGGUAAUGGCUCACCAAGGCGAUGAUCGAUAGCUGGUCUGAGAGGAUGAUCAGCCACAUUGGGACUGAGACACGGCCCAAACUCCUACGGGAGGCAGCAGUGGGGAAUAUUGGACAAUGGGCGCAAGCCUGAUCCAGCCAUGCCGCGUGAGUGAUGAAGGCCUUAGGGUUGUAAAGCUCUUUCGCUCGGGACGAUAUGACGGUACCGAGAUAAGAAGCCCGGCUAACUUCGCGCCAGCAGCCGC